rnacentral:lncRNA from 1 species
UUACCAAUGGCUUUGAAGAACUGGCCGCCCCUUUUAACAGCUGUCUAGUAUUUCACUGAUUGGAUUCAUUCAUCAGUACUCCUCAGUAACUACCUACUAAGCCCCACCUCUGCUGGGCUCUUCUUGGCAUUGGCAGUAGACAAAAGAAAAUGCUUGCCCUUCAUGGCAACUUGUUAGCAGAAGAUAGAUGAAAGAGAAUGAACGUGACUGCUGGUGACAGCACUACAGAGGAAAUGAGGCUCAGAGGGGACGCCUGUUCCCCAUGCCAUGGACUCCAUGUCUGGAAGUGAACCCUCCCCAGCCCGGUCACCUCCGCCCAGCCCUCCUGUGCUGAGAAUCGGGCUCUUGUCUGGACUGCAGAUAGGGGAGUCCUAAGACGUUUGUCCUUUCGUCCUGGCUCGUUCUGCUCAGCAGUGUCUGCAGGUCCAUCCACAUCUUCGUGAGAACAAUGGAAUCUGAGGAGCUGACUCUGGGUUUCGCCUCACCGGGGACAUGGGGAGUGCAUUGCUGAGCCAGGUGACAGUCGUGUGUGACUCUCCAAGGAAGCUCCAAACUUUCGCACAGCAUCUGGGCCAGGAGGAAGCGGCCCCAGUGCCCGAGGCUCCUGCUCCUGUCUUCCAGAAUGACCCGUGGCCAGCUGUCCGAGGAGGACAAGGUAAUGCUUCUGCCAAAACGACCAUCCGUGGACUCACAGAAUGCUUCAUCCACCAUCAUGGAAUUCCUCACAACUUUGCCUCUGACCAAGGAGCACAUUUUACAGCAAAGAGUUUGGGCAGAAUUGUUUCUGUAUUUCUCGGGAUGGAACCUAGCAACUCAUGCAUGCCAGGCGGGCAUCUACCGCUGAGCUGCACCCGCUGGGCAGUUUCAUGUAAGCAGCUCCGGCAGCGUGUUUGGUUUCUUCUUUCGUGUAGCGGAACAACUGUUAACACCUGUUUCUGCUUUUGCGCAUCAAUCUUUUCUCUCAUUUUGUUUUGUUUUUUUUGA